CCCUGGUGGUGCAGUGGUUGAGAGUCUGCCUGCCGAUGCAGGGGACGCGGAUUCGUGCCCCCGUCCGGGAAGAUCCCACAUGCUGCGGAGCGGCUGGGCCCGUGAGCCAUGGCCGCUGAGCCUGAGCGUCCGGAACCUGUGCUCCGCAACGGGAGAGGCCACAACAGUGAGAGGCCCGUGUACCGCAAAAAAAAAAAACAACUCCGUUUCAAUUUAAUUUUUCUUGAGGAGAACCUUCGUACCAGAACCACACAAUGAAGAACUUGGAGUCCCCGUGGCUAAUCCAGCAGAGAGAAAAGGAGAAACAGAGAUGCGAGAGAAAAUAAAUGGAACUCUUGGUGCUGCUGCAGGCCCAAGUCCAGCUCGAGAGAGGCUAUAUUCAUCUGUGGUAAUUACUGCUGUGUUUCCUGAACAUGCCUAUAAAACAUACUGAAGAAGGGUGCCUGAAAUUUGGUAAGGGAUCCAUCAAUUUUCUUGGCUGAAUGGAGAAAUAUGUUCAUAAAUUAAUGAACAAAUCUCUGGGGUUUCUGAAUUAAGGACUAAUGGGAAGAGGAAGGCAAAUGGUUGGGACAGGGUACUGCAAGAAGUAGUAUUUGGAGUACUCUGAUAGCUAUCCUAAUAGAUAACAUUUUGUUCAUUAAAAUAGUUUUAAUGAGAGAGCUGGGAACUAGGGACACACAGCAUCAAGGUUUUAUAAUGCAU